rnacentral:lncRNA from 1 species
UGAAGAUACAUGACACAUUCAAAGAAUAGCCAGUAGUCUAAUCUGGCCAGAGUGUUAAGGGCAUGGAGCUGGAAAAGUGGGGGCUGGGCAGUGAGCAGCAACAUCUGAAACCAGAAAGGUACGUUGGAGCUGAACUGCAAACGGCUCGGUACCAGAUGCCAAGGACUUAGCUCUUAGGAGCAAAAUGGAGGCGAGCGACUACGCAUGGUGAACAGUGGUACAGCUGUCGGUCUCCGCUGGGCAAGGAGAAGAAGUCUGAAAGAGCUCACUCCUAUGCAUGACUUUAUCAGGGGAACUUCCAAAAGACUUACAAGGAUCUAUCUCCUGCCUCACAGGUACCACCUGCAAUUGCUGGUCCAGGGUGCCCAUGCUAAUGAGGAUGAGUGACAGCCAGAUGGAAUCAUCACAGGAUGUAGUACACAAAGAUACUACAAGAGAAAAGAUGCAAGGAAACAGAGGUUGGGAGUGGGGAUGGUGACAAAUUAAAAAGCAUGACCAGAAACAUGACACCACAGACCAGGCAAAGAUUGGCAUCAAGUACAUCACUAUGAAUUCAUAAAAGGAAAUGAAGCUAUUGAUUUAUGAGACAAGAGUUUAAAAUUGGGUUAUAAGUGCCAAGAGAAGAUAAAAUGAUAUAAUCAGAGAUGAAACAAACCCUCAGAAAUAUGAAGGUAACUUUGG